ACCAGACUCCUACGGGAGGCAGCAGUGGGGGAUAUUGCACAAUGGGGGGAACCCUGAUGCAGCGACGCCGCGUGGGUGAAGAAGCGCCUCGGCGCGUAAAGCCCUGUCAGCAGGGAAGAAAAUGACGGUACCUGAAGAAGAAGCCCCGGCUAACUACGUGCCAGCAGCCGCGGUAAUACGUAGGGGGCAAGCGUUAUCCGGAUUUACUGGGUGUAAAGGGGGCGCAGACGGCGAUGCAAGCCAGGAGUGAAAGCCCGGGGCCCAACCCCGGGACUGCUCUUGGAACUGCGUGGCUGGAGUGCAGGAGGGGCAGGCGGAAUUCCUGGUGUAGCGGUGAAAUGCGUAGAUAUCAGGAGGAACACCGGCGGCGAAGGCGGCCUGCUGGACCGUGACUGACGUUGAGGCUCGAGAGCGUGGGGAGCAAACAGGAUUAGAUACCCGUGUAGA
rnacentral:rRNA from 1 species